AUUGAACGCUGGCGGCAGGCUUAACACAUGCAAGUCGAGCGGGGGAAGGUAGCUUGCUACCGGACCUAGCGGCGGACGGGUGAGUAAUGCCUAGGAAUCUGCCUAUUAGUGGGGGACAACAUCUCGAAAGGGAUGCUAAUACCGCAUACGUCCUACGGGAGAAAGCAGGGGAUCUUCGGACCUUGCGCUAAUAGAUGAGCCUAAGUCGGAUUAGUGAGUUGGUGGGGUAAAGGCCUACCAAGGCGACGAGCUGUAGCGGGUCUGAGAGGAUGAUCCGCCACACUGGGACUGAGACACGGCCCAGACUCGUACGGGAGGAAGCAGUGGUGAAUAUUGGACAAUGGGGGGAACCCUGAUCCAGCCAUGCCGCGUGUGUGAAGAAGGCCUUAUGGUUGUAAAGCCCUUUAAGCGAGGAGGAGGCUACUCUAGUUAAUACCUAGGGAUAGUGGACGUUACUCGCAGAAUAAGCACCGGCUAACUCUGUGCCAGCCGCCGCCGUAA
rnacentral:rRNA from 1 species